CAGCAAAACAAAACAAAACAACGUGUACUCUUCAAAGUGUGGAAAGAUAAUGUGCCCAACUGCUAGUGCAGGUUUUGAACGCUGGGGACACUGUAUCCGUAGGGGACCAGACGGGUGCCCAUCACUCACACGGCUCCAAGGCCAAGCCCUGGCUGGAGAGGAUGUUUCCCACUGAAGGAAUAGCAUGGAGCCCAUGGAGAGGGAAGCGCUGGCCGAUUUUGGUGAGACUGAGCCCAGAAUCUGCAGGAUUUCUCCCCAACAGCGAGCUCCAUUUUAGGAACUCCCUACCUACCAAGACUCACCUCUGCAAACCUCCGAAAGCCCCCCGUUGUGAAGCCCUCCUGGGAGAAGCCAGCACAGACAAGCUUGAGAGUGUUGGGGAGGAAAUGCCCCACAAGUUGCAAACGAGCAAGAGAUGGAAAGUGGAGUUAAUUUACAAUAUCAUGUAUAUUUAUGGACUGCAGAUAAAUGAGCUCACAUAGAUACUCUCUUGAGAGUUCCAUCUUCAUGUUGUAAUUGAAUGAGUAGAAGAUAAACAUGUUUGAUUUUGCCUUCAAUCACUGUAACACUGUAUUUCCUUAACAAAUAACUGAAAUUCUCAGUUGUGAAGUUUUCCUACUCUGGUGAUUUUCUGAAAGGCGAUUCUUAAGGCUAUGGAUGAAAUACUACAUUUAUUUUUUUUUUAAAGGUGCAGCCCUGGCUGAUGUAGCUCAGUGGAUUGAGUGUGGGCCUGCGAACCAAAGGAUGGUGGUUCAAUUCCCAGUCAGGGCACAUGCUUGGGUUGCAGGCCAGGUCCCAGCAGGGGACGCACGAGAGGCAACCACACAUUGAGAUUUCUCCCCCUCUCUCCUUCCCUUCCUCUCUAAAGAUAAAUAAAACAUUU